AGUCGAGCGGAGAAUGCAGAAAUGUUUACAUGGAAGUAUUCUUAGCGGCGGACGGGUGAGUAACACGUGGGUAACCUGCCUCAAAGUGGGGGAUAGCCUUCCGAAAGGAAGAUUAAUACCGCAUAAGCCUACAGUGCCGCAUGGCACCGUAGGAAAAGGAGUAAUCCGCUUUGAGAUGGACCCGCGGCGCAUUAGCUAGUUGGUGAGGUAACGGCUCACCAAGGCGACGAUGCGUAGCCGACCUGAGAGGGUGAUCGGCCACAUUGGAACUGAGACACGGUCCAGACUCCUACGGGAGGCAGCAGUGGGGAAUAUUGCACAAUGGGCGAAAGCCUGAUGCAGCAACGCCGCGUGAGUGAUGAAGGCCUUCGGGUCGUAAAGCUCUUUGAUCAGGGAUGAUAAUGACAGUACCUGAAAAACAAGCCACGGCUAACUACGUGCCAGCAGCCGCGGUAAUACGUAGGUGGCGAGCGUUGUCCGGAAUUACUGGGCGUAAAGGAUGCGUAGGUGGAUAUUUAAGUGGGAUGUGAAAUCCCCGGGCUCAACCCGGGAACUGCAUUCCAAACUGGGUAUCUAGAGUGCAGGAGAGGAAAGCGGAAUUCCUAGUGUAGCGGUGAAAUGCGUAGAUAUUAGGAGGAACACCAGUGGCGAAGGCGGCUUUCUGGACUGUAACUGACACUGAGGCAUGAAAGCGUGGGUAGCAAACAGGAUUAGAUACCCUGGUAGUCCACGCCGUAAACGAUGGGUACUAGGUGUAGGAGGUAUCGACCCCUUCUGUGCCGUCGUUAACACAAUAAGUACCCCGCCUGGGGAGUACGGUCGCAAGACUAAAACUCAAAGGAAUUGACGGGGGCCCGCACAAGCAGCGGAGCAUGUGGUUUAAUUCGAAGCAACGCGAAGAACCUUACCUAGACUUGACAUCUCCUGAAUUACCCUUAACCGGGGAAGCCCUUCGGGGCAGGAAGACAGGUGGUGCAUGGU
rnacentral:rRNA from 1 species